rnacentral:rRNA from 1 species
UACAGACUCCUACGGGAGGCAGCAGUGAGGAAUAUUGGUCAAUGGGCGGAAGCCUGAACCAGCCAAGUCGCGUGAGGGAAGAAGGACCUGCGGGUCGCAGACCUCUUUGGACGGGGAGCAAGGCCGCCGACGUGGCGGCGGAAGGAGAGUGCCCGUAGAACAAGCAUCGGCUAACUCCGUGCCAGCAGCCGCGGUAAUACGGAGGAUGCGAGCGUUAUCCGGAUUUAUUGGGUUUAAAGGGUGCGCAGGCGGCGCGGAAAGCCGGGGGUCAACGCGGGGGGCUCAGCCUGGCUCCGCCGUUGAAACUGGCGUUCUUGAGUGGGCGAGAAGUAUGCGGAAUGCGUGGUG